rnacentral:lncRNA from 1 species
UAAAAAUACGGUAAUUAAAUAUCUUAUUUAGAUUAUUCACCUUUUAGUAGAUAAGCAAAGGUUUAAAUUUUUUUAAAUUUUGAUCCGAUUAUUUGUUACUUCGGAAAUUGCAAAAUAAAACUCAAUUUCGAAAAUAAAAAAAUUGUUAUAACUUAUAAAAAAAUUGUUAUAAAAAUGAAAUUAAGACUUUGAUAUUGCAUGAAAUGUUGAGUCAAACAGUCCAUAAUGCACAAUAAAUUUGAAGAGGAUUUGUCAAUUAGUUUAAAUUUUAUUCGAUUUGCUUAUCACAAAGAAAUUUUAUUCGAUUUUUGCAAUGUUAUUGUUCAGAAAAUUAUACAGCAAUUCUGUGGAAACCACAGGAAAGAAGAAUACUUAUAUUUUUAGCUUAUUUAAAAAAUCAAUAAGAAGUCAUUUUUAGCAUUCUGAAAACAUUUUACGAAAGUAGAAUCAUUUUUGGCUUCUAAACAAUUUUAAUAACCAUAUUAACAUAUUGACUAAAUCUGCGUUGGGAUUUGAAAAGCUGAUAUUUUUACACGAAUUUUAAAAAAAAAACUUUUCGCUUAGGUUAAUUACGAGCAAAGUUAGCCACUUUUAUUACUUAUUUAAUUCACAGUUACUUCUAUGUACAUAAAAUUCUCCUGUAACAGUGUUAGUUAUCAUAUUCCUCCGAAACGGCUUGACCGAUUUUUAUGAAAUUUUACACGUAUAUUCUGUAGGACUGAAAAUAGGUGGUAAUCUAUUAUUUACACCCAUACGUUAUAAGGGGGGUUGCCCCCUGCCACUUUUUUAUUGUUUUGGAGAAAAUUGUCUACCUUCAUUUUAUAUUAUGUACCAUUAAAAAUAUAUACAACCCUUAAUUUUCACCUUUCUACCACCAACCCCUAUUUUUUAAUAGUUAUCUAUUUAUUUACAUCUAUAAAAUUCUCCUGUCGUAAUUUUAGUUGCCAUAAUCCUCCGAUACCGCUUGAACGAUUUUUAUGAAAUUAUAUAUGUAUACAUAUACUUGUAUAUGUAUACAUAACAUUUUGUAUUGUUAGGUGGGUAUAUGUGUACAUAACAUACUCUACAAAAGUACAGGUAUAUAUAUAUUAAAAAAA